rnacentral:rRNA from 1 species
UAAAGAAAGCGUAAUAGCUCACUGGUCGAGUCGGCCUGCGCGGAAGAUGUAACGGGGCUAAACCAUGCACCGAAGCUGCGGCAGCGACACUAUGUGUUGUUGGGUAGGGGAGCGUUCUGUAAGCCUGCGAAGGUGUACUGUGAGGUAUGCUGGAGGUAUCAGAAGUGCGAAUGCUGACAUAAGUAACGAUAAAGCGGGUGAAAAGCCCGCUCGCCGGAAGAC